GAUGUUAAUAUUUACAGGGGUGUCUCUGGGGAGAGUGUUAAUAUUUACAGGGGGGGGUUCCCGGGCAGAGUGUUAAUAUUUACAGGAGGGUUCCUGGGGAGAGUGUUAAUAUUUACAGGGGGGUCCCCGGGGAGUGUGUUCAUAUUUACAGGGGGUCCCUGGGGAGAGUGCUGAUAUUUACAGGGGUCUCUGGGGAGAGUGAUGAUAUUUACAGGGUGUCUCUGGGGAGAGUGUUAAUAUUUACAAGUGGGUCCCGGGGAGAGUGUUAAUAUUUACAGGGGGGUCCCGGGGAGAGUGUUAAUAUUUACAGAGGAUGUCCCCGGGGAGAGUGUUAAUAUUUGCAGGGGGGUCCCGGGGAGAGUGUUAAUAUUUACAGGGGGGGUUCCCGGAGAGAGUGUUAAUAUUUACAGGGUGUUCCCCGGUGUGUGUGUUAAUAUUUAUUGGGGGGGGGUUCCCGGAGAGAGUGUUAAUAUUUACAGCGGGGUCUCUGGGGAGAGUGUUGAUAUUUACAGAGGGUGUCCCCUGGGAGAGUGUUAAUAUUUACAGGGUGUUCCCCGGUGUGUGUGUUAAUAUUUAUUGGGGGGGGUUCCCUGGGGAGAGUGUUAAUAUUUAUGGGGGGGGUCCCUGGGGAGAGUGUUAAUCGUUACUGAGGGUUCCCGGGGAGAGUGUUAAUAUUUACAGGAGCUCACUGGGGAGAGUGUUAAUAUUUACAGGGGGUUCCCCGGUGUGUGUGUUAAUAUUUAUGGGGGGGGUCCCGGGGAGAGUGUUAAUAUUUACAGGGGGUUCCCCGGUGUGUGUGUUAAUAUUUAUGGGGGGGGUCCCUGGGGAGAGUGUUAAUCGUUACUGAGGGUUCCCGGGGAGAUUGUUAAUAUUUACAGGAGCUCACUGGGGAGAGUGAUUUGUACUGCGGCACUCUGAACAAAGACGUUUCAAUAAACUGCCCAUAAAUCUGA